CCAAAAAUUAUUCUUCUGCUUCUUUACCUAGAAAAAUUCUUCUCACUCUGCAUGCUUACUUUGAAUCAUACCUACUUUUUUUCAAAACUUUCAUUCCUCAUCACGUAUGUCUGGCACAUAAUUAAUACAUAAUAAAUCAUAAUUAUAAGCUUCCAGUUGGCAUCUAGCACACAGUAAGCACUGAAUAAAGUAGUAAAAUAAUAAAAAUGACAAUGAUAAUAACAAGCUCCUGUCUGUAUUUUUAAUUGUGUGUGUUCUGUAGCAUUAGAAAAAUGAUUAGUAUCUAAAAGACAUUUGAUAGUUAUUUGUUAAGUGGACAAGUGAAAACAUAGAAAUGUUUUCUUUGUAAAUUCUGUUGAAAAAACACAGAAAUGAAAUAGAGACACCUCUAUUAUGAGCACCUUAAAGAUCAAAACUACAUCUAUUCCAUCUUUGUCUUCUGCAACUUAUAAAACCUAACUUACAGAAGCUUUUUGAUAAAUAGAUGGCUAAAUUAAAGGUGUCCUCAUCCAGUUUGGAUUAUACAAUGUAUUAGGUGUCCACAACCAGGUGGCAUACUAGUAUUUUUGUUAAUGUGAAGCAUUUUUCUACUUUUAUUAUAAUCUGCUGAGCCUAGAGUUGGGCAAUUUGUAUAUUUAUUAUGACAAUCUUUUGGUAAAUGGUAGCAGAGCAUCUUGUUCUAACAAAAUUACUGUUAUCAAGACAAUUGACCAGCAGGUAGAGAACACAUCUUGUUCCAACAAAGUAAAUGUAUCUCUUUCCAACUUCAAAUGAGGAGGAAUGAAGUCAGUAAGAGUGAGACCUUGUUGGGACAAGGAUAUGUAACAUGACUUGUGCUUUGGCGUUCUUUUGUGAUCAAAAAUUCCUUACUUUUAUUUUUUUAUCUAUGGUAGGACCACCCAGAGCAGGGGUCCACAACUCCCAGGUCACAGACUGGUACCAGUCCAUGGACUAUUAUGAACCACACCACACAGGAGGAGGUGAGCAGCAGGCAAACCAGGGAAGCUUCACCUGUACUUACAGCCACACCCCAUGGCUCAUAUUACCGCCUGAACUCUGCCUCCAGUCAGAUCAGUGAUAGCACUAGAUACUCAUUGGAGCAUGAACCCUAUUGUGAACUGCUCAUCUGAGGGAUCUAGGUUGUGUGCUUCAUAUGAGAAACUAAUGCCUGAUGAUCUGUCACUGUCUCACUUUGCCCCCAGAUGAGACCAUCUAGUUGCAGAAAAAUAAGCUCAGAGUUUCCACGGAUUCUACAUUAUGAUGUGUAUUCUCAUUUUAUGGAAGACAUGUUGCCAGAGUAAAGCACAAUAUAUUCAUCUUGAAAUGUAAUACUGAGAAGAUAUGGAAGUUAUGGAAGUUGUGGCCUUCAGAAUUGACACUUACGGAGAGACUAGAACAGCGUGGGUUUUCAGGUCAUUAAUGCUGAGUCUGGAGAAAAGAACAGUGGCUCCCAUGAACAAGGGUUGACAAAUGUAACACACUUGGUUAUAUUUGAAUUUCAGGUAAAUGAUGAAUUGUUAUUUGUAUAUACUCCAGUAAUUGCUUACACAUAUUAUACACAGAUAUAAAAACAUUGCAUAGCUAUACUAAAAAGUUAUUUGUUGUUUACCCCAAAUUUAAAUGUAACUUAUGUUUUCUCUAUUUUAUGUCACAAAUCUGCCACAACUACCAUAGAACUAUUGUGUAAUUUGGGACAACAUGUUACAAACAUGGGAAAACAGAAUAAAAGAAAAAAUAUCAAAGGUUUUAUAAAGGCUGAGUGCUGUGACUUAUGCCUGUAAUUUAAGCAUUUUAGGAGGCAGCAGUGGGAGGACUGAGCCCCAGAGUUUGAGACCUGCCUGGGCAACAUAAUGAGAACCCAUCUUCACAAAAAAAUUUCAAAAAUUAGCCAGGCAUUGUACCACCUGCCUGUAGCUCUGGCUACUUGUGAGGCUGAGGCAGCAAGUUCACUUGAGCCUACACGGUCAAGGCUUCUGAGACCCCUGAUCAAACCACUGCACUCAUUCCUGGGUGUCAGAGUGUGAACUUGUCUCAAAAAAAAUCAAAACAUGAGAUGCAGCAAACUACUGAGAGAAAUUCACAGCAGUAAACACCUACAUUAAAAAUAAACAAUUCUAAAUUAAUAACCUAAUGUUUGGCAAAAAUAGUUAAGGGCUAAUUAACUACUCAUCACACCUUGGAGAAAGAAUAUCAGUGCGGCAAGCAAAAGUCAUGUAGAAUAUCUAAGAGAAAAGACUGAGGAGUGAGGUGCCUGGGGGAUUCGGGCUUUGAAAAUUAUCCACAUAUUCCUGAGAAUCCAGAAGCCCAUAAGCAUGUUCAGGGUCAAUCAAGGGACAGGCAAAUGCUCACAAAGACCUACGAAGCUGUUAUCUCUCAUGUCUGCUUUACCUCCAAGCACUGCACAAGCAGGAAGAAAAGAAAACAGCAAAGUUGUAAUCUUUCUGGCUAAGUAAACCCAACUGCAAGAACUAGUAGAUUUAUAUUUGAUGUGAGCAGGCAUUUGAGAAAAUCUCUGUCAAAUAGCUAGCUCACAUGAAGCUAAUAAAGCAGAGAUUUUUAUUGCUAAACACGACAAAAGGAUGAUAUUUUAAAAAUAAUUUUGAAAACUCACCAAACAAACAAGUAAAAUUUACAAUAAGCAACAAAAAAACCCAACGGGAUGAGAGAGAAUAUUAUUUCAGGGUUGUUGUAAUAGAAAAAGUCUAGUUUUCAGCAACAGCAAUGAAAUACAAAGCGUGCAAAUAAAUUAAUGAAAAAAUAAUGGCCCACUAAUAAGAUAACAGAUAUUAACAGAAACAGUCCUAGAGGAAUCGUAGGCAUUGAAAAAUCUAGAAAAAGUCUUUAAAUUACCUGUCUUAAAUGUGCUGCAAAGAUAAAUAACAUCAAAAGGAAAAACAUUUCAGAAGAAUAGUGUCUCAUCAAAUAGAAAAUAUUAAUAGAGAUAGAGAUUAUAAACUGAAGCCAAACUCUAAAGUUGAAAAUUAAGAUAACUAAAAUAAAAAAUUCACCACAAAGGUUCAACAAAAGAUUUAAGUAGACGAAAGACACAACCAGCAAGCUUGAGGUCACUUCAAUUCGUAUUAUCCCAACUAGCAGAAAUAAAAAAUAAUGAAUAAAGAUGAACAGAGCCUAAGAUAACAAUGGGAUACUAUAAAAUGUGCCAUUACAAGCAUUAUGAAAACUCCCGAAAGAAGGGAGAAAGAUAAAAUGGGGCAGAAAGAACAUCUGAAGAAAUAAUGGCUAAAAAGUUCCCAAGCAUGAUGAAAUACGUGAAUCUACACAUUCCAAAAUCUCAUUGAAUUCAUAGUAUAAACUCAAAGAACUCUACACCAAGACAAAUUACAAUAAAACUUUCAAAAGCUAAAGAGACAACUUUGAAGAAAGUUAUGGAGAAAAGACUACUAUUUGCAAUGCAUCUACACUGACAUUAACAACUCACUAAAAACUAGAGUCCAGAAUAUAAUUUCUCACUAAAAACUACGGAGUCCAGAAUAUGAUAGGACAAUAUAUUUAAAGUGUAGAAACAAAAAAAAAAAGCCAACAAAGAACUCUAUUUUCAGCAAAACUGCUCUUCAAAGAUGAAGGACAUCCUUGAAGACCUUUGAAGACACUAAGAGCUAUAUAGAUUAAAACAAAUUUAACAGCUUGUCACUAGUAGACCUGGUAUGCAUUAAAUGACAAAGGUUAUCUUUUGGGUUGAAAUGAAAUGACAAACUAGGUAAUAAUGCAAGGCCAUAUGAAAAAAUAAAGAAUGCCAGUAAAAAUGAGUACAUGGCAAAAUAUAAAUGCCACUAUUAAAGAAUAUUUUGUAACUUUUAUCUAUUGUUCUUUUUUACAUGUAAUUUAAAAUACUAAUGCAUAAAAUAAUUAUAAAUUUUUGUUAAUGUCAUACAAUGCAUAAAGAUGUAAUAUGUGACAAAACAACAUAACAUUGGAGGAGCAGAUCUCUAUUGAAACAGCUUGUAAAAUAAAACUGAAUUAUGAGCAGUAUUAAUUUAAAGUACAGUUACACAGUGAUGAGAUUAAUUGUCAUCCUUAAGGUAGCCACUAAAAAUACAACUAAAGAAAGAAGUGAAAGAGGAAAUGAGAAGAGAAUCAAAACUGUUUUGGAAAAAUACUAGAACAUUAAAGAUGUCAGUAAUAUAAGAGUUAAUUAACAAAAAUAUACAAGACUUUAGAAAACAACUAGAAAAAUGGCAGAAGUGUGCCCUUCCUUAUAAAUAGUUUAAAUAGAAAUUAACAUCUACAAUUACAAUGCAAAGAUUGGCAGAUGGUUUAAAAAUAAACAAAAACCUGAACUAACUUUAUGUUAUCUAUAGGAGAAUCUCUUUAGUCCUAAACUCACAAAUGGGUUGAAAGUGAAAGGAUGGGUAAAAAGAUUCCACACAAAUAGUAAGCAAAAUAAGCUGGGGUGGUUACCCUUAGACAAGAUAGGCAUUAAGACAACAUUGCUAUAAUUAAUUGACAUAGGAAAUUUUAUGUUAAAAAAUUAUAAAUCUAUCAAGAAGAUAAAAUAGUUUUAAAUAUGCAUGUACCUAACAAAGACCCCAAUAUAUGAAGCACAAAUGGCAGAAUGGUAGUAGAAGAAAAUUCUCAAUGUGAACUGCUGACUUUAAUAUACCAACUAGACCUAACGGACAAAUUCAGAAACACCUAAUCAAAAACCUUGAAAUGAGCAAAAAUUGAUUGCAUUUUCACAUUGUUUUCAAGCAAGCAAUUUAACCACCUUGCUAUUUUAUGGCAUGCUUAUUUUUUAAAAAAAAGUUAUGAUGAAAUAUGCAUAACAUCAUACUCAAUACAAAGUUUCUGGUAUAUUUAUAAUUAUGCAACUAUAGCCAUGGUAUAACUUUAAAAUAUUUCCACUAUCAGGACUAGACAAUCAUUACUGAUUUCCCUUUUAUGGACAUUCCAUUUUAUCACCUUUAUUGUUUGGUUUGGUUUCGUUUUUGAGAUGGAGUCUCUGUCAUGCAGGCUUGAGUGCAGUGGUGCGAUCUCAGCUCACUGCAACCUCUGCCUGCCUCGCGGGUUCAAUAGAUUCUCCUGACUCAGCUUCCUGAGUACCUGGGAUUACAGGCGCCCACCACUGCACCUGGCUAAUUUUGUUUUUAGUAGAGACAUGGUUUCACCAUGUUGGCCAGGCUGCUCUCGAACUCCUAACCUCAGGCAAUCCACCUGCCUCAGCCUCCCAAAGUGCUAGAAUUAAACGUGUGAGCCACCAUGCCUGGUCCAUUUUUAUUACCUCUUUAUUAUUGUGGUAUGAUUACUAUUUUGUAUAAAUGGGAUGAUACACUGUAUUAUGUUUUGUGUCUGGUUUAUUUCACUUAAUGCAUGUGAGGUCAGUUAUGUCAUUUUUUUUUUUUUACUAAUUUUUUGUAUAUUUUAGAAAAUGCAUUUAGAAGAGAAUAAAAAACUUUUAAAAUAACUUCCGUAUUUCUCAAUGUUGUGCAUUUUUUUCAAAAAAUAAGCAAAUAUUUUAUUUUUUUGGUUUCUUUGAGACAGAUCUUAUUCUAUCACCAUGGCUGGAGUGAAGUAACAUGAUCAUGGCUUACUGCAGAUUCUACCUCCUAGGCUCAAGUAGUCUUCCCACCUCAGGCUACCAAGUAUCUGGGACCACAGCUGCACACCACCAUGCCCAACUAAUUUUUAAAUUUUGUGUAUAGAUGGGGUCUCAUUAUGUUGCAUGGGCUUGUCUCAAACUCCUGCGCUCAUGAGAUUCUCCUGCCUAGGCCUCCCAAAGUGCUGGGAUUACAGGUGUGAGCCACCACACCCAGCCUAUUUUUUUCUAAAGACAGGGUCUCAUUCUGUCCUCAGCUCAAGUGCUGUGGCGUAAUCAUAGCUGAGGGCAGACUCAAUGUACUGAGCUCAAGUGAUCCUCCCUCACUGACCCAAAGUGCUGGGAUUACAGGCAUCAGCCACCAUGUCCAGCCUGAAAUAAUAUUUUAAUUAAACAUUAAGAAAAAUAGAAGAAAUAAGAUCUAGUGUUUCGUAACACAAUAGGACAACUAUAGUUAACCG
rnacentral:lncRNA from 10 species